CAGUAGCCGCGGUAACACGGAGGGUGCAAGCGUUAAUCGGAAUUACUGGGCGUAAAGCGCACGCAGGCGGUCUGUCAAGUCGGAUGUGAAAUCCCCGGGCUCAACCUGGGAACUGCAUUCGAAACUGGCAGGCUAGAGUCUUGUAGAGGGGGGUAGAAUUCCAGGUGUAGCGGUGAAAUGCGUAGAGAUCUGGAGGAAUACCGGUGGCGAAGGCGGCCCCCUGGACAAAGACUGACGCUCAGGUGCGAAAGCGUGGGGAGCAAACAGGAUUAGAUACCCCAGUAGUCCCUGUCUCUUAUAA
rnacentral:rRNA from 1 species